GGAAUAUUGCACAAUGGGCGAGAGCCUGAUGCAGCGACGCCGCGUGAGUGAAGAAGUAUUUCGGUAUGUAAAGCUCUACCAGCAGGGAAGAAAAUGAAGGUACCUGACUAAGAAGCCCCGGCUAACUACGUGCCAGCAGCCGCGGUAAUACGUAGGGGGCAAGCGUUAUCCGGAGUUACUGGGUGUAAAGGGAGCGUAGGCGGCGAAGCAAGUCUGAAGUGAAACCCCAGGGCUCAACCCUGGGACUGCUUUGGAAACUGUUUUGCUAGAGUGUCGGAGAGGUAAGUGGAAUUCCUAGUGUAGCGGUGAAAUGCGUAGAUAUUAGGAGGAACACCAGUGGCGAAGGCGGCUUACUGGACGAUAACUGACGUUGAGGCUCGAAAGCGUGGGGAGCAAACA
rnacentral:rRNA from 1 species